AGAGUUUGAUCCUGGCUCAGGACGAACGCUGGCGGCGUGCUUAACACAUGCAAGUCGAACGAUGAACUACUAGCUUGCUGGUGGGGAUUAGUGGCGAACGGGUGAGUAACACGUGAGUAACCUGCCCUGGACUCUGGGAUAACCCCGAGAAAUCGGAGCUAAUACCGGAUAGGACCUUUCCUCGCAUGAGGUUUGGUGGAAAGUUUUUCGGUCUGGGAUGGACUCGCGGCCUAUCAGCUUGUUGGUGAGGUAAUGGCUCACCAAGGCGUCGACGGGUAGCCGGCCUGAGAGGGUGACCGGCCACACUGGGACUGAGACACGGCCCAGACUCCUACGGGAGGCAGCAGUGGGGAAUAUUGCACAAUGGGCGCAAGCCUGAUGCAGCAACGCCGCGUGCGGGAUGACGGCCUUCGGGUUGUAAACUGCUUUUAGUAGGGAAGAAGGGCUUCGGCUUGACGGUACCUGCAGAAAAAGGACCGGCUAACUACGUGCCAGCAGCCGCGGUAAUACGUAGGGUCCGAGCGUUGUCCGGAAUUAUUGGGCGUAAAGAGCUCGUAGGCGGUUUGUCGCGUCUGCUGUGAAAACUAGAGGCUCAACCUCUAGCCUGCAGUGGGUACGGGCAGACUUGAGUGGUGUAGGGGAGACUGGAAUUCCUGGUGUAGCGGUGGAAUGCGCAGAUAUCAGGAGGAACACCGAUGGCGAAGGCAGGUCUCUGGGCACUUACUGACGCUGAGGAGCGAAAGCGUGGGGAGCGAACAGGAUUAGAUACCCUGGUAGUCCACGCCGUAAACGUUGGGCGCUAGAUGUGGGGACCUUUCCACGGUUUCCGUGUCGUAGCUAACGCAUUAAGCGCCCCGCCUGGGGAGUACGGCCGCAAGGCUAAAACUCAAAGGAAUUGACGG
rnacentral:rRNA from 1 species